rnacentral:snRNA from 1 species
GGGUGUGAGGGCCAUCUGGUUGCGAUAUCUGCCACUGCAUUGAUCACCAGGAUUGAUUUCAGCUGAUCUGACCGGCUAAGUGGGAGUUUAUUUCCUUCCUCACUGUUCAGUGUGUAUCUCAAAGGAGCUGGGCACUUGGUCGAAAAGGAAGAAGAGGAUGGCCUUCCCCAUCAUAGUGACCAUUCUUCAGCCUAGGGUAUCUGUGUUCCCCUGUAGAGCCUCCAACCAAGACCUCACGGUCCUUAAAACACUACCCUUGGUCUUUGGUAGCACUGUAGCACUGUCAUCCUGUUGUUCAUCGAU